rnacentral:rRNA from 1 species
CGGAGCUUGCUCUGUGGGAUCAGUGGCGAACGGGUGAGUAACACGUGAGCAACCUGCCCCUGACUCUGGGAUAAGCGCUGGAAACGGCGUCUAAUACUGGAUACGAGUAGCGGCCGCAUGGUCAGUUACUGGAAAGAUUUUUUGGUUGGGGAUGGGCUCGCGGCCUAUCAGCUUGUUGGUGAGGUAAUGGCUCACCAAGGCGUCGACGGGUAGCCGGCCUGAGAGGGUGACCGGCCACACUGGGACUGAGACACGGCCCAGACUCCUACGGGAGGCAGCAGUGGGGAAUAUUGCACAAUGGGCGAAAGCCUGAUGCAGCAACGCCGCGUGAGGGAUGACGGCCUUCGGGUUGUAAACCUCUUUUAGCAGGGAAGAAGCGAAAGUGACGGUACCUGCAGAAAAAGCGCCGGCUAACUACGUGCCAGCAGCCGCGGUAAUACGUAGGGCGCAAGCGUUAUCCGGAAUUAUUGGGCGUAAAGAGCUCGUAGGCGGUUUGUCGCGUCUGCUGUGAAAUCCCGAGGCUCAACCUCGGGCCUGCAGUGGGUACGGGCAGACUAGAGUGCGGUAGGGGAGAUUGGAAUUCCUGGUGUAGCGGUGGAAUGCGCAGAUAUCAGGAGGAACACCGAUGGCGAAGGCAGAUCUCUGGGCCGUAACUGACGCUG